GCUAAAGCGGGGCCAGGAGCGGUGGUGAUACGUAGGAGGCGAGCGUUAAUCGGAAUUACUGGGCUGAAGGCGUUGGCAGGCGGUUGUGGAAGACAGCUGUGAAGUCCCCGGGCUCAACCUGGGAACUGCGGGUGGGACUGCACGGCUAGAGUACGGCAGAGGGGGGUGGAAUUCCUGGUGUAGCAGUGAAAUGCGUAGAGAUCAGGAGGAACAUCGAUGGCGAAGGCAGCCCCCUGGGCCGCUACUGACGCUCAUGCACGAAAGCGUGGGGAGCAAACAGGAUUAGAUACCCCAGUAGUC
rnacentral:rRNA from 1 species